rnacentral:rRNA from 1 species
CCGACGGGUGAGUAACACGUAUCCAACCUGCCGUCUACUCUUGGCCAGCCUUCUGAAAGGAAGAUUAAUCCAGGAUGGCAUCAUGAGUUCACAUGUCCGCAUGAUUAAAGGUAUUUUCCGGUAGACGAUGGGGAUGCGUUCCAUUAGAUAGUAGGCGGGGUAACGGCCCACCUAGUCAACGAUGGAUAGGGGUUCUGAGAGGAAGGUCCCCCACAUUGGAACUGAGACACGGUCCAA